UGGGGAAUCUUGCGCAAUGGGCGAAAGCCUGACGCAGCCAUGCCGCGUGAAUGAUGAAGGUCUUAGGAUUGUAAAAUUCUUUCACCGGGGACGAUAAUGACGGUACCCGGAGAAGAAGCCCCGGCUAACUUCGUGCCAGCAGCCGCGGUAAUACGAAGGGGGCUAGCGUUGCUCGGAAUUACUGGGCGUAAAGGGCGCGUAGGCGGACAUUUAAGUCAGGGGUGAAAUCCCAGAGCUCAACUCUGGAACUGCCUUUGAUACUGGGUGUCUUGAGUGUGAGAGAGGUAUGUGGAACUCCGAGUGUAGAGGUGAAAUUCGUAGAUAUUCGGAAGAACACCAGUGGCGAAGGCGACAUACUGGCUCAUUACUGACGCUGAGGCACGAAAGCGUGGGGAGCAAACAGGAUUAGAUACCCCCGUAGUCCCUGAGCGGGCUGGCAAGGCGCAU
rnacentral:rRNA from 1 species